GACCUGGACCCAUGCGGUCACAACGCCCAAACCAUGUCAGGACCGGAAGGUAGCAGCAUUACGGGAUGCUUGUGACAGGCGUGGACUCCGGGUCUCU
rfam:Lyngbya confervoides BDT141951 scaffold_0, whole genome shotgun sequence.